AUUGAACGCUGGCGGCGUGCUUAACACAUGCAAGUCGAUCGGUAACGCGGGGGCAACCCUGGCGACGAGAGGCGGACGGGUGAGGAACGCUUGGGAAUCUGCCUAUCAGCGGGGGACAACACGGGGAAACUCGUGCUAAUACCGCAUACGCUCUACGGAGGAAAGCCGGGGACCGCAAGGCCUGGCACUGAUAGAUGAGCCCAAGCCGGAUUAGCUAGUUGGCGGGGUAACGGCCCACCAAGGCGACGAUCCGUAGCUGGUCUGAGAGGACGAUCAGCCACACUGGAACGGAGAAACGGUCCAGACUCCUACGGGAGGCAGCAGUGGGGAAUAUUGGACAAUGGGGGAAACCCUGAUCCAGCGACGCCGCGUGGGUGAAGAAGGCCUGCGGGUUGUAAAGCCCUUUCGGUAGGGACGAAAGCUCUCGACCUAACACGUCGGGAGGUUGACUUAACCUACAGAAGAAGCACCGGCUAACUCUGUGCCAGCAGCCGCCGUAAAAC
rnacentral:rRNA from 1 species